rnacentral:rRNA from 1 species
GUGAACGCUGGCGGUAGGCCUAACACAUGCCAGUCGCACGGCAGCACAGUAAGAGCUUGCUCUUACGGGUGGCGAGUGGCGGACGGGUGAGGAAUACAUCGGAAUCUACUUUUUCGUGGGGGAUAACGUAGGGAAACUUACGCUAAUACCGCAUACGACCUACGGGUGAAAGCAGGGGAUCUUCGGACCUUGCGCGAUUGAAUGAGCCGAUGUCGGAUUAGCUAGUUGGCGGGGUAAAGGCCCACCAAGGCGACGAUCCGUAGCUGGUCUGAGAGGAUGAUCAGCCACACUGGGACUGAGACACGGUCCAGACUCCUACGGGAGGCAGCAGUGGGGAAUAUUGGACAAUGGGCGCAAGCCUGAUCCAGCCAUACCGCGUGGGUGAAGAAGGCCUUCGGGUUGUAAAGCCCUUUUGUUGGGAAAGAAAAGCAGCAGGUUAAUACCCCGCUGUUCUGACGGUACCCAAAGAAUAAGCACCGGCUAACUUCGUG